AAGCAGACUUCAAAUCUGGCGAGAGCUCGCACGCCGCUAAUCCCGGGUUGUUCA
rnacentral:tRNA from 17 species